AAACCAUGGUGUGGACACUGAGCUAGGUAGCCAUUGAACCUCUCCCAUACUUCACUGAAUCCUUCCAAGUUCUUCUGUUUGAAACCAUAUAUCUUAUUCCUGUAGUCA